rnacentral:rRNA from 1 species
CAGCCGCCGCGGUAAGACAGAGGAUGCAAGCGUUAUCCGGAAUGAUUGGGCGUAAAGCGUCUGUAGGUGGCUUUUUAAGUCGGAUGUGAAAUCCCUGAGCUUAACUUAGGAAUUGCAUUCGAUACUGGGAAGCUAGAGUAUGGGAGAGGAUGGUAGAAUUCCAGGUGUAGCGGUGAAAUGCGUAGAGAUCUGGAGGAAUACCGAUGGCGAAGGCAGCCAUCUGGCCUAAUACUGACGCUGAGGUACGAAAGCAUGGGGAGCAAACAGGAUUAGAUACCCCGGUAGUCCCUGUCUCUUAUAC